CAAAAAUGUGCCUCUGCCCAAUAUACCAGAACACAGGAGAAUUCUACUUAUCUGCACACCUACAAUGGGUGGACCAGAACACAUAGAAGCAGGACUAGGGGAACACUGGAGGCAGUGCCUGAAAUCUUGGCUUCCAACCCUAUAGCUGAGAGCCUGCAGCCUUAUAGAACCUGGUAGAAGCAGGGAAGGUAGCUCACACAACACCAGCCUGCUGGCACAGGCAGUUGGGGCGCAAUGGCCAUAAAGUCUGGAACCCCAUCCCUUCAGUUGCAAAGUGAAAGUCACUCAGUCAUGUUUGACUCUUUGCGACCCCAAGGAAUUCUCUAGGCCAGAAUACUAGAGUGGGUAGCCUUUCCCUUCUCCAGGGGAUCUUCCCAACCCAGAGAUUGAACCCAGGUUUCCCACACUGUAGGUGGAUUCUUUUCCACCUGAGCCACAAUGGAAGUCCAAGGGCGUCAACAAUUCCAGUCCUCCACCCCCCGAACUGGAAGCAGAAAGAUCCAUGAAUAUAACAACACGUGACAUGGCAGAAGUACCCAUGGCAACAGAGCCUCCUGUACCGAAUCCCUCCCGCCAAAGCUACAGAGCCUGCAAAUUAGGGGCACAGCAGACGAGUCCGUCAUUCCAGUGCUCCAAGCUACAACACAAGCAACGCUCGCAGCAGCAAGACAUCGACAGACCUGGAGGCUCAAGCACUGAAACCAGGAGUACUUGGUGACAUCUCUGACAAGGCAGUGAAAGGUCGAAAGUGCCAACUCUCAGAUAUAAUCAGAGACAGAUGCCAAAAUCAGAUAUAGACAUUACAAUAAAGAAAACUAAGCCAAUAUCUAUUAUGAAUAUAGACACAAAAAUCUUCAACAAAAUGCCAAACCACGCAACUUAUGAAAGGGAUUAUAUACCAUCACCAAGGGGGACUUGCCUCAAGAAUGAAGGUUGGUUCAGCAUAUGAAAAGCAAUCAAUGUAAUACACCAUAUCAAUAAAAUCAAGGGGAAAAAAAACACAUGAUCAUCUCAAUAACACAGAAAAAGCAUAUGACAAAAUCUAACAUCCUGUCAAUAACAACAAACUAGGAAUGAAAGGAAUCUUCCUCAGUCUGAUGAAGGGCAUCUAGGAAAACUACACUGCUAAUAAUGAAAGACUGAAGACUUCUACUAAAGAUAAGGAACACAUGUUUUCAUAUCUCUUGAGUAUAUGCCUGGAAUUGCUGGGUCAUAUCCUGCUACUAUGUUUAUCAAACUAGCAAUGUAUGGAAAUUCCAAUUUUUCUAAAUCUUCACCAACAUUUAUUAGUUUUAAUCUUUUAGACCAUAGCCAUGCUCGUGGUUGUGAAGCAAUAUUAUACUCUGGUUUUAAUUUGCAUUUCCCCAAUGGUUAUUGAGGUUGAUCAUCUUAUGUAUUUAGGUCAAUUCUAUAUCCACUUGACACAUUAUGUCUUA
rnacentral:lncRNA from 1 species